AGUGAACGCUGGCGGUAGGCCUAACACAUGCAAGUCGAACGGCAGCACAGUAAGAGCUUGCUCUUACGGGUGGCGAGUGGCGGACGGGUGAGGAAUACAUCGGAAUCUACUUUUUCGUGGGGGAUAACGUAGGGAAACUUACGCUAAUACCGCAUACGACCUACGGGUGAAAGCAGGGGAUCUUCGGACCUUGCGCGAUUGAAUGAGCCGAUGUCGGAUUAGCUAGUUGGCGGGGUAAAGGCCCACCAAGGCGACGAUCCGUAGCUGGUCUGAGAGGAUGAUCAGCCACACUGGAACUGAGACACGGUCCAGACUCCUACGGGAGGCAGCAGUGGGGAAUAUUGGACAAUGGGCGCAAGCCUGAUCCAGCCAUACCGCGUGGGUGAAGAAGGCCUUCGGGUUGUAAAGCCCUUUUGUUGGGAAAGAAACGCAGCAGGUUAAUACCCCGCUGUUCUGACGGUACCCAAAGAAUAAGCACCGGCUAACUUCGU
rnacentral:rRNA from 1 species